rnacentral:misc_RNA from 1 species
UCUACAAUAUUUCUGUUUGUUAUAUCAUUAUAACAUAUUUUUGUAUAUUUAACUUCAUUUCCAUUGGUAGAUUAUGCCGAUAAGUUAUAGCUUCUCCUUUGUGCAAAAGUUGAUGUGUAUAUAUUACUUCUCAUAUGUAUAAGGGGUAGCUUCCCUUUCUUGAUACUAUGUGUAUGCUCCUUUUUGUCUACAAUAUUUCUGUUUGUUAUAUCAUUAUAACAUAUUUUUGUAUAUUUAACUUCAUUUCCAUUGGUAGAUUAUGCCGAUAAGUUAUAGCUUCUCCUUUGUGCAAAAGUUGAUGUGUAUAUAUUACUUCUCAUAUGUAUAAGGGGUAGCUUCCCUUUCUUGAUACUAUGUGUAUG